rnacentral:rRNA from 1 species
GUCCACGGCCAUACCACCCUGAACGUGCCCAAUCUCGUCUGAUCUCAAAAGCUAAGCAGGGUCCGGCCUGGUUAGUAUUUGGAUGGGAGUAAUAGUGUGCAUCACCCCCAUUUUAGACGAGGAAACUGAGGCAC